rnacentral:rRNA from 2 species
AGAGAAGCGCAAACGGUGGAUGCCUUGGCAGUAAGAGGCGAAGAAGGACGUGGAAUCCUGCGAAAAGCUAUGGGGAGCUGGAAACGAGCGUUGAGCCAUAGAUGUCCGAAUGGGGGAACCCGGCUGCAGCGAUGCGGUCAUUUGCAUUUGAAUACAUAGGAUGCAAAGGCGAACUCGGGGAACUGAAACAUCUAAGUACCCGAAGGAAAAGAAAUCAAGAGAGAUUCUCCAAGUAGCGGCGAGCGAACGGGGAGGAGCCUGGCGUGAUUUAUUAUUGAACUGAGUAGAACAAUUUGGGAAAGUUGGCCGUAGAGGGUGAAAGCCCCGUAUACGAAGGUUUGAUGAGGAACUAGGCACGCGAACAAGUAGGCCGGGACACGUGAAAUCCUGGUUGAAGAUGGGUGGACCAUCAUCCAAGGCUAAAUACUACUUACUGACCGAUAGUGAACCAGUACCGUGAGGGAAAGGUGAAAAGAACCCCGGAGAGGGGAGUGAAAUAGAAUCUGAAACCGUUUGCGUACAAGCAGUGGGAGCAUAGUUUAGGCUGUGUGACUGCGUACCUUUUGUAUAAUGGGUCAGCGAGUUACUUUCAGUGGCGAGGUUAACUGAAUAAGGGAGCCGUAGAGAAAUCGAGUCUGAAUAGGGCGAUAGUCGCUGGGAGUAGACCCGAAACCGGGCGAUCUAGCCAUGUGCAGGAUGAAGGUUGGGUAACACCAACUGGAGGUCCGAACCGGGUAAUGUUGAAAAAUUAUCGGAUGACGUGUGGCUAGGAGUGAAAGGCUAAUCAAGCCCGGAGAUAGCUGGUUCUCCCCGAAAGCUAUUUAGGUAGCGCCUCGUGAAUGAUUACUGGGGGUAGAGCACUGUUUCGGCUAGGGGGCUGUCAUGGCUUACCAAACCGAUGCAA